CAACCUGCCUAUUANAGGGGAAUAACAGUGAGAAAUCAUUGCUAAUACCGCAUAUGCUGUGAGUAUCGCAUGAUACAAACAGGAAAGGAGCAAUCCGCUAAUAGAUGGGCUUGCGUCUGAUUAGAUAGUUGGUGGGGUAACGGCCUACCAAGUCAACGAUCAGUAGCCGAACUGAGAGGUUGAACGGCCACAUUGGGACUGAGAUACGGCCCAGACUCCUACGGGAGGCAGCAG
rnacentral:rRNA from 1 species